GCGCGAAACCUCUGCAAUAGGCGAAAGCUUGACAGGGUUACUCUGAGUGAUUUCCGUUAAGGAGAUCUUUUGGCACCUCUAAAAAUGGUGCAGAAUAAGGGGUGGGCAAGUCUGGUGUCAGCCGCCGCGGUAAUACCAGCACCCCGAGUGGUCGGGACGUUUAUUGGGCCUAAAGCAUCCGUAGCCGGUUCUACAAGUCUUCCGUUAAAUCCACCUGCUUAACAGAUGGGCUGCGGAAGAUACUAUAGAGCUAGGAGGCGGGAGAGGCAAGCGGUACUCGAUGGGUAGGGGUAAAAUCCGUUGAUCCAUUGAAGACCACCAGUGGCGAAGGCGGCUUGCCAGAACGCGCUCGACGGUGAGGGAUGAAAGCUGGGGGA
rnacentral:rRNA from 1 species